UCUUGUCCCCCCUUUCUAUCAGUUUCCACGGACUAAAGGCACAUCAUACUGUGUUAUUUUCCAUGGAAUAAUUAUUCAUUUUCGUAGGCAUUCUCCAUGUUUCAGCAAUCAAUGUAACAGGGUAUAAUUUUGGGUAAAGUAAGCAUGAGUAAAGUUAAAAGAUCUUGACAAGUAAAUCAUCACAGAUUCUCCGAAGGCGGGAAACAGAAUAGCCAUAUUUGAAAACAUGGAGGCACUUUGUGUUGUCGGGUGAGGAAUAUGUUGAGGAUAUUAUCCAAGCAAUGACAGAGAAGCAGGAGGUUGAAAUAUAAACCUGUCAUUUUGUCACCCUAUUAGCAGUUGUCAAGUAAGCGGUAUCUAAGAUGGACGGAGCAGAGUCAGUACGGUCUGGUCGUAGUGACCGAUCUGAGCGGUCCCAUCGUAGCCAUGGCAGCCACCACCACCGUCACCGCCAGCAGAGCGGGCGACCAUCCAGUCACAGAGGUCGGAGCCGCGACCGAGGAGAACGCGACGACCGCUCGGUCACCAUCAAGACCCCGGGUCACAUGUCGGACGACUGCCAUGAGGAGGAACGCAUAGAAGUCCAAGUAAUUCCUCAGGAUGACAACUGGGGCGACAACACCACCGCCAUUACCGGCAACACAAGUGAGACCGGAUUCUCUAUGGAGGACAUGCAUAAAUUUUCGAAAGAAUUCGAGGACAAUGUUGGGUUUGACUGUACGCGAUAUGUAGGAUCGGCGUUAGCAGCUGUGCUCAGUAUAUUUGGCUUCAUUUCGCCAAUCGCGAUGGUGGUUCUACCCAAACUGGGAAUCGUAGACUGGAAUGUGCAACCUGACGGCACCCUUGUAGCAGCUUCAGAUCCCGACGAUAUGAAGUGUAAACCAGAGUGCGAGGGCCUUCUCAUCAGUUUUGCGUUUAAACUCAUCAUAUUAUUCGUAGGAACAUUUGCACUGUUUUUCCGUCAACCUAAAGCCACGAUGCCGAGAGUUUUUAUUUUCAGAGCCGUGGUGCUUUUCCUUGUGUUUGUGUUGACAUUCGCGUUCUGGCUGUUCUACGGUGUUCGUAUAUUCAAGGAGCGGGAGCAUAAGUACCACUCUAUAGUGCAGUUCUCGGUGUCGCUAGUCGACGGACUACUUUUCAUUCACUAUCUCGCCAUCAUCUUGUUGGAGGUGAGGCAGAUUCAGCCGCAGUACGUCAUCAACGUGACGCGGUCGCCGGACGGGGAGAGUCACUCGUACACGAUGGGCGUGUUGAGCAUUCAGAGGGCAGCUGUCUGGGUGCUGGAGCAGUAUUUGAAGGAUUUCCAGUCGUACAAUCCGUAUUUGGAGAACGCCACCCGCCGCCCGGCCAAGCUUACAGGGUUCAAAGUGUACGAUGUGGACGGAGGCGCUAAUCAGGCCAAUCAACAGGGCCGAUCACGGGCUGUGUUUGCAGCCGCGGCUCGCCGGAGGGAUGCUAGUCAUAACGAUCGGUUCUACGAGGAACAGGAGUACGAGAGGAGGGUGCGGAAACGUCGAGCGAGGCUGCUGGUUGCAGCAGAGGAGGCGUUCACACACAUCAAGAGGAUGCAGGACGAACAAGGUCCUGCCAUCCCCAUGGACCCGCAGGAGGCCGCCCAGGCCGUCUUCCCCUCCAUGGCGCGGGCGCUGCAGAAGUUCUUGCGGGUGACCCGUCAGCAGCCGCGCUACACCAUGGAGUCGGUGCUCAACCAUCUUGCCACCUGCAUCGCCCACGACAUGAGCCCUCGGUCAUUCAUCGAGAGAUACCUCACACAGGGGGUCGUCAUCAUGAACGAAAAAUCGUACAAAUCCACGGAACGCUGGGUGCUAGUGUGUGAUCAGCUGGUCACAAGGGAGGUGGAACACGGGUCGUUGUUUCAGCUGCGGAGCGGGGAUGUUUCGUUGUUGUGUUCGAUCCGUAAGAUCCCACAUUUCAGUCUCACUGAAGAGGUCAUCGACCCCAAAAAUAACAAAUUUGUGCUGCGGUUAAACUCUGAAACGUCCGUAUAGUGAAGUGUUGUGAUCUCUCAUUGGCUGGCAGCAUUGUCAUGUGACCUUGCAUUAUGUUAAGUGAAUGAUCAUUGGUUGUGUGGUUGUCAUGUGGCCAUUGUGGGUCGACUUAUAGCGUUUGCGUCGAUGCGGGAACAAAGUCACAACAUGAUUGGUCGAACUUCGGGUGAUCUCAGCGUGUGGAUCAUGUGACAGGACACUCAAGUCAUGUGACACCGUGACCAGGACAUCGUCAAGAGAGAAGGAACCUUAUGUUGUGAAUCACGGGUGGAUGUGGUUUAACCCUUUAGAUUCUAAAACAACAUGAAUAUGAGCUUGUCGCGUUGAUCGUCUAAUGAGUGAUUGUCUCCCCUGAGCAGGUACAACUUAUGGUUUUCAUAAAGUUCACUAACUCAUUGUCCAUGAACUGUUGAAGGUGUUGAACCUGUUUGUGUGGAAGGCCAAAAAAAUAAAAUAUGUGUUUCCUGUUUCACCCUGACCAAAUAUAGGCGUGGUCGGUCAGGUUGGUUUUUUUAAAUUUUAACUUUUUUUAAUCUAUAGCUAUUGAACAAAUUUACACUUCUUUCAUAAAAUACAGACAAUGUCAGGAUAGUAUUAAUACUUAUGGUGCGACUCGAGAAAAAUAAGAAAAGAGUUUUGGGUCAAGGCCACAUUUGGGUUAGGGUCAAGGUCAAGGUCAGGGUUAGUGGGGCAACAGGAAAUGCAUAUAUUGUAUUUGUGGCUAGAGUGUGAGUGUGUUGCACGGACUUGUGGCUGUUGCGUAUACUGCUGUAGAAUCUGUCUGUACAGUGUGAAACAGACGAUAUUCACCAUACACUAUAUCACACACGGAUGUUGCCAUACUUUCAGUGAACUAUUCUCUACUGUGUAAAUUGAUGUCUUUUCUCUGGCUGCUAUUAUCAUUUCAGUUUGGUAUGAGAAAUAUGUUGACACUUCUUCCGUGUAUGUUCGAUUUUGUAAAAUGGAGCAGAUGUGGAGAUGUGACAGCAUUUGCAGUUAUGGUGAUACGUGUCGUAUUGCAUGGCAUUGUUCACGUCAUACCACGCAUUCAGCUGGUGUUGCUGCCAUUGUUUCUUACUGAGGUAGUUUCCUUUUGGUACGAGUCUCCACAGACAUUUAUUAUAGUAGAAUAAUCUGAGUGUUUCCCAUAUACAAACCUGGAAUCUCAUCCUAAAAUAAAAUAUUAUGCCUUUUGUUUCAUAAAAUGUAGCAUUCAAGAAAAGUUGAAAUGAAAUCUCACCAAGGUAGAAGUUUAAAUUUGAUAAACCUUGACAUGUUGCAUAAGUCCACACAUCUACAAAUCAAUUUAUGUUUUACGGUUGAAUUUAUCAAUAACAUGUAAGUAAAAAGUGUCAGUGCUUAAACAAAGUUGCUUUAAGUUUAAGUGUUAGCGUGUUUUAUUUUUGAAGGAUAGGUAUUGUUCAAUUGUAUACUUCCCAAGUCUCCAAUGUUUUCUCAAGACUCCAAGCUGCAGGGUGUACAAAUGUUGUGAGUUUGUCUGAAGUGAUAGCGAGUAGCACCACAUGUGCCGUAGACUCCUGUUGCCAUGGAGACUUCUCAAAUACUUAAAACAAAUAAUGUCAAUUUUUGUGUGAGCAAAUAUGCAGUUUUUUUUCAAUCCCAAUUGACCAAACUUUAUUGAUGCAUAAUUUAGUCCACUGCAUUGUAAAUAACUAUAAAAUACAUCAACCUAGGAUCCUAGCACAACACCCUUCAUUGUUCCUUUGACCUGUGAAGUUUUGUUGUAAGUUUGGAUGGCUCGCAUGGAUGCAAUUUGUGAAGUCUAUUUUCUGUUGUAAUUUGGCUAAACAGCAUUCACGUUCCACUCAGUGCAUCUACAGUAGAGACAGAGUUAUCGCCCUUUGAUUACAUCGUCACAUUCUGCCUUGACAUGUCUCAGGAUACAUCAAUGUCUGUCGCACGUCGUCGGCCAUCUUUCACGGACCAAUGUUUGAACGUUCAACCAAAGAGUCAGGAAGGCUUGUGUUUGCUGUAUGAAUGUUGCACAAAUUCAUUUUUAGAAAUCAAUAUUUUAGUCUCAUUUCAAUCAUGUGAUGAUAACGGGUGAUUGUCUUUGAAGAAAAAAGAAUCCUCGCACAUGUUUUAUAGACGUGCAUAACUGAUCAGACGUAAAUCAAAGAGGCAGAUGACAAGUUGCCAUGGUUACUGCCAUGUAUUAUGAUUAUUGUUGCCAAAGUUGCUGUCAACUACGGAAUAAGAUUAAAUUAAAUUUGAUUAACACUAGCAAGUUAUCUAUCGAUGUCCUGUGAUGGUAGGGUAUAUAUGUCUGUCAAUAACACUAUCUGCUUCACAAGUAGUUCUCUGGUUAUUUCCAUGUAAAUUUCUUAAUCUACUUAAUGAUAAAAGGGUAUUCACGGUAACAUGUAUGCUUAAAAAAUAGUUAAUUAAGUUACAAACAUCUCUCAAAACCUGAUCCAAUUAAAUUCAAUGUUUGAUAGGUGUUUUCUGUCAAAUUAUUUGAAGAUAUUUUGUUAUUUCACGUUAAAAAGGUGAACUUGUCUUCUUUAAAAAAAUCAAAACUUUUUUCUUUUCUGAUUUUUCUAUUCAGUAUAUGGGAGGAAAUCAAUUGUCUGUACAGCAAUCAAAUAAUUCGACCACCUGUGUAUGAUUGUAUUGGCUGAUUGUCUCGGAUGUUUCAACCAAUCAGAACUCAACAGGGAUGUUUCAACCAAUCGGAAAUCAGCAGUAUGCACACUUGAAAUAGUGCUGUUUUAUUUACAUUAUUUUGUAAUGAUUGAAACAUUGAAUCGUACAGCUUCUGAUUGGCUGAGUUUGUAAAUGCCAUGAAUAUGCGAAUAUGCUGUUGUACAGUGUAGUAGCAAGACUGUUUAUAUACUUAGUAGAGUAGUUGUUCAGACAUUAGUACCGUGUUCGACCAAUGAGUGCCUGUCCCAGGUGACGAGGAAACGGUUGGCUUCUUGUACUGGCAGGGAUGCAUGUUCAGUUGUAGGCAGGGUGUUUAUUUACACCUGUUUUUUAUUUCUUUUGCGGAUCCUCUGACCUAAAUAUUGACAAAAUUGGGGGGGGGGGGGGGGAUUUUUUCAUUCAAAAAUAAUUAAUUUAUCACUGCUGGGCUAAAUGAAUUUUAUAUAGGAAUUAUGAAAAUGUAUUCCUCGAAUUUUGCAUUGCAGUAAUGAGAUGUCUUUGUCACCAAAACUUGGUACGCUGCAGAAGGAAUAAUUUAUGUUACAAUGCAGUGUUGAUAGUUAUGAGUAUUAACUCCAGCCUUGUCCACGUCCCUUAUGUCAGAAUUCUUUUUUUUCCUUCCCCCCUUCCGAAAUGAAUUAUUUGGGGGAAAAUUUGUAAACCCAAAAAUAAAAAAAGGCCUAACUUUCAAAAUGGUAGUUUUACAACUAGUAAUGCUUCGUGUUUCUCAAUCAGAAGUUCACACAAAUGUGUACUGAUUAUUUGGCAAAUACCUUCAGCAGGAAUCUUGCCUUCAUCACUGUAUGGGGGCGGUGGGGUAGCCUAGUGGUUAAAGCUUUCGCUCGUCACGCCGAAGACCCGGGUUCGAAUCCCGACAUGGGUACAAUGCGUGAAGCCCAUUUCUGGUGUCCCCCGCCGUGAUAUUGCUGUAAUAUUGCUAAAAGCGGCUUAAGACCAAAACUCACUCACUCACUCAUCACUGUAUGUUCCAUGUAAAGAUUGACUGGACCUGUUGGCAUAAAGUGAUGCUGCUGAAUGGGACAAGGGUCAGGCACUUAUUAGGUUGAAUACGGUAUCAGGAGCAUAGUCAUAUCAACUUUUAUUUAUAUUUUGUACAAUUUUGCAACUAUUUUCUACACUGAUAAUUUAUUUUGCCUUUACAGCUUCAACACUACUGUUGCCCUGAAUGUUGAUUAUCUGUAAAUAAGCCCAUAUGCUUACAGAAUAAUUUGCCUUGCAGGAAGGGUUGAAAUACGAAGGGAAAUAUGAAAAUGAAAGAUCUGUGUCGAAAACUUUAGAACGAUGUAUAGGUAGUCUAGACCUAGAAACUUGUUUCAGUAUUUUCACAUUUUGAGAUGAACUUCAUAAAAUUUGUUGGAAGAAUCUCUGUUUACAAGAUGUAACUUAAUUUACAAGAUUUUGGAGACCCUCGUUGUUUGGUUGCUGUUAUUUCUCCUUCAGUUCAGCUGUAUUUCAUGACAAGCCCUGCUGGAGCGAGGCCGAGUGCAUCAUCUCAAACACCCUCAGGAAUCUAGGGAAUGAGAAAUUCAAAAUGGUAAAUGGGAAGAAUUCCCAAAACAAUAUUAUCAUUGCCAAUGUUUUCAAUUUAGAACUCUGAAACAUUGGAUCCAGUAAAUUUGGAUCUGCAAAAAAAAAAAGUUUUAAAAGAACAAAACCCGCCAUCUUUGAAUGUCCUUCCCAAGGCUUGUCUGGCCCCAGCAGGUGCUUGUCCUGGAACCUUGUCAGGCUCCAGCAGGUGCUUGUCCUGGAACCUUGUCAGGCUCCAGCAGGUGCUUGUCCUGGAACCUUGUCAGACUCCAGCAGGUGCUUGUCCUGGAACCUUGUCGGGCUCCAGCAGGUGCUUGUCCUGGAACCUUGUCGGGCUCCAGCAGGUGCUUGUCCUGGAACCUUGUCAGACUCCAGCAGGUGCUUGUCCUGGAACCUUGUCAGACUCCAGCAGGUGCUUGUCCUGGAACCUUGUCAGACUCCAGCAGGUGCUUGUCCUGGAACCUUGUCGGGCUCCAGCAGGUGCUUGUCCUGGAACCUUGUCGGACUCCAGCAGGUGCUUGUCCUGGAACCUUGUCAGACUCCAACAGGUGCUUGUCCUGGAACCUUGUCAGGCUCCAACAGGUGCUUGUCGGAUGUGAUGCUCCUCCUCCAGUAUUUUGUAUUGCCCAUCGCCAUCAUUUGUACAAGCUUCAUCCUCAGUUCAUCUUUUAUAGUCAAAGUUUUGUACAUAAGUUUAUGGCCAAUAAAUACUUCACAAACAUA
rnacentral:misc_RNA from 1 species